ACCACAGCGGGUGUAUGGAAGUUGGCAGCCCACGAUCAGAAAAGUCACGGAAAGUGUGCCGUUGAGUAAUGCGAAUCUCAGCACCAGCUUCUGCAGCUUUUGAAAACAUCUUCGAUCCUCAAAAGGGAGCUGUUGAUUGUGGAUCCAAGAAAAUGGGUCCUGCACCGAGGACACUAAGAGCAGCGGUGCGCAGAUGUUUGGAAGUCCCCCCGUGAGGGUCUUUGCUUGUGCAGGGAACGGAAGACCUGCCCUUCACUUCCUCAGCCUCCCAGGGACAGGAUAUGCCGCCAUCUUAAACCCUCGGCCUGUGCCUGGAGGAGGUGAGCUUCAGGGACGUCAUCGGUAAAAUGUGACUAUCUGACGGGGUUCCCAAGUCUGAGCAGAUAAAGGCUAGAGCAGGACUGGAAGCUCAGAUUUGCCCAUGGACCCCCUCUAGUCUCCAGAGGACGUGGACAAUCCCUCAUGGAAGGGCCACAGCUGGCUAGGAGCACCUGCGUAUCAUGGGCAAGUCCCUGGGUAAGAAUGCAAAGCCUCAGAGCCUUGCUACUUGAGCCUCCCCUUCCCUGGAGAGACCUCCUCCACUCCAGUUCAGCGUGAAGCUCCUCCCGCAGCGGCUGGACCCCCGUGCAGUGGGCAGAAGUGGCGGCAGGGCUCACUGGACAGGGAGCAAUCCGUUGGCCUAGCCUGUGGCACUUGACCAUGCUCUGGGCUGCUGUGCUGGUCACCCUAGAGUGACAGCCCCACUCACUGACCCUGGGCCUUGCAUCACCCUGGCCAUUGUCCCAGCACCCCUGGGGGAGGAAGGCCAUGGGGCGGGGGGGACUCAGAUCCUUUGCACAGUGGUGGAAGCGGCCCUUGGAGAGGACAAAUGCUUUCCAGAAAGACAUAAAGGCAUAACUAGUGGGAGGCAAGGCUGGGACGAGAGCCCUGGGUGUCUGAAUCCUGUUGGGCUUUGUUCUGCUCUGUUCUUCCUAUCACGACUCCUUCACGCUGGCUCUCAGAGCUCUGUGUCCUUGGUGGCCCUCCUGGCCCUACCCAACUUGCCUGUCCCCACAGUACCCCUGCUCUCGUAUACCCCUCUCUCCUUUGGUGGAUUUCAUCUUCACAGCAUGGCUGAAAGAAAUGUAAUUUGACCAAAAUAAUUCUCUCUAAAGGCUCAGUGACUAAUACUUGCCAGUUCAAGAGGUUUUGAAAGACAGGGUUGGAUUACUCUAAUCAUAUCCCAUUAUGGUGAAUUUCAGGCUCUUAAUAACACCAGAUCCUAAGGCAAGGGGCAGAGAGAGAGACCCCGCGUGGUUUCUAAUUGGCCGAUGAUGUCGGGCCAGCUCCUUGAGCUGAGCCUCAGCCUCCUCACAUAAGAAGCAAGGUCAUUCAACCCUUCACUUCUGGAGACCCUUCCAACUCGAGGUUUCUGAGCCCCUCAAAAUAAAGGGAAAGUCUUCAAAUGCUGAAGGGGAGGUUCUGUUGCUCCGUCUCCAUAUCCUGAUCUUCGGGAGAGGAUGAGGCUGGUGUGGCAUGCAUGGCCAGCCUCCUGGGACACCCUGUGGCACCUCUGUGUGUGGGUAGCUCUGGGCAAACAGCUAGAUAUGCCACCUUCCUUGCAAGUUCCUAGGAAUGCCUGCCUUUCCUCCUUCCACUGGGGAAUCUCCCACUUCCAUCUAACCCAGGUCUGAAGGGUUUUUACUGCAGGAUCCUGAGUGCUCCUCUCCAAUUCCUCCCACCUGGAAACAGCCUGCUCGAUGCCCGUCCCAGCCAGGGAGCGGAACUCAGUAUGUCUAGGUGUCUUCAGUUCCUGCAGCCACAGUCGGAAGCUGAGACAAGGAAGUCAGGCUGCAGUAGAGGUAACACUUUCCUUCUGGUGUUUUCUCAACCAAGUGUCAAUGAAAGAGUGAUUUCCACUGUGCUCCACCUGGAGCCACUCCUGAGCGUCUUCCUUACCCACCGUCUCUCACCCCCACUCAACCUCAGCACGGCUUGCACAGAACGUCGGAGCCUCUGCCGACCUCUCUGAACCUCCCUCAGCCUAAUCUCCAAUUGGCAAAC